rnacentral:rRNA from 1 species
UGGGGAAUUUUGGACAAUGGGCGAAAGCCUGAUCCAGCAAUGCCGCGUGUGUGAAGAAGGCCUUCGGGUUGUAAAGCACUUUUGUCCGGAAAGAAAUCCUUGGCUCUAAUACAGUCGGGGGAUGACGGUACCGGAAGAAUAAGCACCGGCUAACUACGUGCCAGCAGCCGCGGUAAUACGUAGGGUGCAAGCGUUAAUCGGAAUUACUGGGCGUAAAGCGUGCGCAGGCGGUUUGCUAAGACCGAUGUGAAAUCCCCGGGCUCAACCUGGGAACUGCAUUGGCGACUGGCAGGCUAGAGUAUGGCAGAGGGGGGUAGAAUUCCACGUGUAGCAGUGAAAUGCGUAGAGAUGUGGAGGAAUACCGAUGGCGAAGGCAGCCCCCUGGGCCAAUACUGACGCUCAUGCACGAAAGCGUGGGGAGCAAACAGGAUUAGAUACCCUGGUAGUCCACGCCCUAAACGAUGUCAACUAGUUGUUGGGGAUUCAUUCCUUAGUAACGUAGCUAACGCGUGAAGUUGACCGCCUGGGGAGUACGGUCGCAAGAUUAAAACUCAAAUGAAUUGACGGGGUC